GACGAACCGUGCGAACGUUGUUCGGAAUCACUGGGCUUAAAGGGCGCGUAGGCGGGUUUUCAAGUCUGUGGUGAAAGCCUCCAGCUUAACUGGAGAAGUGCCGUGGAUACUGGAGACCUCGAGGAGGGUAGGGGCAUCUGGAACAGCCGGUGGAGCGGUGAAAUGCGUAGAUAUCAGGAGGAACGCCGGCGGCGAAAGCGACUCUCUGGCCUGUAACUGACGCUGAGGCGCGAAAGCUAGGGGAGCAAACGGG
rnacentral:rRNA from 1 species